AGCAGUAGCCACGGGAAUACAGAGGGUGCAAGCGUUAAUCGGAAUUACUGGGCGUAAAGCGCGCGUAGGUGGUUUGUUAAGUUGGAUGUGAAAUCCCCGGGCUCAACCUGGGAAUUGCAUUCAAAACUGACUGACUAGAGUAUGGUAGAGGGUGGUGGAAUUUCCUGUGUAGCGGUGAAAUGCGUAGAUAUAGGAAGGAACGCCAGUGGCGAAGGCGACCACCUGGACUAAUACUGACACUGAGGUGCGAAAGCGUGGGGAGCAAACAGGAUUAGAGACCCCCGUAGUCCCUGUCUCUUAUAC
rnacentral:rRNA from 1 species